UGCAGAAUUUGAUGGUGCUAUAUAAAUAACAUAAUAAUAAUAAUAAUAAUAAUAAUAUAUUUUUUUAAUUGGGGUAGCCCACAAAAUAUUAGGACAUAUAAAAAAGACAACUCUGUUUCGCAGAGUAGCUGUUGACAUUAUAGUUGCACAGGCGCUUUGACUCUAGAACCUUGGACAUCCCCGUGACGGCGACUUUGCAUUCAGAUGUCAUCCAUAUCAACUUUCGAUGCCAGUUUCUGCGCCUACCAUGGUGACCACGGGUAACGGGGAAUCAGUGUUCCAUUCCGUACAGGGACCCUGAGAAACGGCUACCACAUGCAAGAAAGGCAGCAGGCGCGCAAAUUACCCACUCCCGACGCGUGAAAGUAGUGACG